rnacentral:rRNA from 1 species
CAAUAGCGUAUAUUUAAGUUGUUGCAGUUAAAAAGCUCGUAGUUGGAUUUCGGUUAAGAGCGACCGGUCCGCCGUUUGGUGUGCACUGGUUGGUUUUAACUUCCUAUAGAGGACGUGCUCUGGGUUUAACGACCUGGACUCGGAGUCUACGUGGUUACUUUGAAAAAAUUAGAGUGUUCAAAGCGGGCUUACGCUUGAAUAUUUCAGCAUGGAAUAACACUAUAGGACUCCUGUCCUAUUUCGUUGGUCUCGGGACGGGAGUAAUGAUUAAGAGGAACAGUUGGGGGCAUUCGUAUUUCAUUGUCAGAGGUGAAAUUCUUGGAUUUAUGAAAGACGAACUUCUGCGAAAGCAUUUGCCAAGGAUGUUUUCAUUAA